AUUAAAUUGGUUAUAUAUGUUUAACUUGUACAAUUUAAAGUAAGAACUUCCUUUUCAAUGAUAAAUCUCAAAUUGUAAUGUAUCUGUAAAGCCAAUAAUACUAUUAAUAAGAACUGUUUUUUCGUUUCCAGAUAUCCUCUGUCUUAUCAGUAUAAUGAUAUCAUUGACGUCUAAUUUCAAAGAUGGACUCAUUUAGCGACUGAAGUUGAUAUAUAAGGUAGCAGCACGAAUCUGUGCAGAAUACUCUUGACUCACAGAGACUAACAUCGCAGACAAUGAACUCCGGACUGGGAAAGGUGUCUGAAAGAAUCUAUUACCUAAUCAGAAAUUCAUUGAAAGUCCAGGAUUAUGUUAAAGCUUUGAUAAAAGACGUGGAUACAAGAACUGAUGAAACACUUAAAAGGUACUGGCCACAGUGAUCCUGGGUCUUCCCAGACUCCAAAGAGAAGAGCCGAAGACCUUCAUUGUAAAGGACUGUCAAGUGAGUUACACUGGAUAUUGUUAUAUUGUUAAAAAAUAGGAGCAAAUAUGAGGUGAUGUUAAUCCAUAAUUCGUUGUUCUACAUCAUAUAAGUUUGUAAAGAAAGUAUUUUGUGUUCAAGUACUUUUCAUCCAAAACGAAAAUAAGUAUUUAUGGUAUGAAUAUUUAUAUGUAGGUAAUAUUUAUGUAAGUAUGUUUUACAUAUGUUUAUUCCUUUAACUUUAGUGGCUAAGGGCACACCUUUUGCACGGCCUAGAACAAGUAUUUCAUUUCAGUUUAUAGGUUGCAAUUACAUCCUUCAUUCUCUGCGAUGGAGUUGCAGAAGAAGCCUUCACGGACAUUUGCGUUUUCCAUGUGUUUGCUGAGGGACAGAAAGUGUACACUAUGGACAAUGGUAUUGAUGCCCUCAAGGUUUACCUUGCAGUUUUUUACAUCUAUAAUUUGCAAUGUGCCCAAGGUCUCAGCAAAUCCCAUUUUUUCUUGGACAAAAUUUUGCUGAAAAUCAACAACAAAUUUAUGGGUAUAAAACCGUGAAAACCAAAAAUGUUGAAAAAUCAGUCAAUUCCAUGCUCUCGAAACUAAAUGCAGGAAAUUGAAUGUGCUGACUAGAACAGUUCGGAGUCAAUUGUAACAUUGGGAAAUUGUCCCAAGGACCAUAACUGUGAGACUAAAUAUUUUAUCUCAAGCGUUUUAUUUUAGAAAUACUCCCCUUUGUCAGUUUGAAUAUAGUAAAGUAUUGUAUAUACAUCUCGUAGUGUUUGAUUAGACUAACGCUAAGUCUCUGAUUCUAAAUAUAUGUAAUUUUGAUAGUAGCAACAAACCCAUUUAAACUGAAAAAGAACCCCGGCAGA